rnacentral:tRNA from 1 species
GCAGAGAUGGCUGAGCUUGGUCAAAGGCGCCGGAGUUAAGUUCCGGUCGUUACACGUUCGUGGGUUCAAAUCCCACUCUCUGCA